CUAACCCCAAAGGAGGCCAUUUGGGGAAAUGAAAUGAGUCCUGGGAAAGAAAAGUCUGCAAUUCUUGCUCUUGGAUUGGUGGUUCUCAGGACGAUUUAAUUUUUAACAUAAGCUGAAAACUGGUGACCACCUCUUGUCCCAUGUGAAUACGGACAACCUGAAGGGUAGAAGCGGGGUCAGGGGCUGGGCACCAGCUGGAAGAAGCUGUGCUCACAAGUGAAGUUACCAUCGGCCACCAUACAACCUGUUACAAUACCGUGGACUUUAUUCCCUGUGCUGUGCCUUUUAUCCCCGUGCCUUGUUCAUUCCGUAACUGGAAACCUUUUCCUCCCUCUCUCCUCCACCCAAGUUAUCUACGCCCCCAGGCACCCCCUUCCCUCUGGCAUCCACCAAUAUUGAACUCAGAGACUUUAUCAGUAACCCCUUAGAGUUAUCUCCUAAAGUCAUGAGGGCUAAAGACAAGAGAAAAUAACCCAAGUAUGACCAGGCAUGAGAAUGUCAUCAAUAAAGGCCUGUUUCCUUUGACCUUCA